rnacentral:rRNA from 1 species
UACGUAGGGUGCAAGCGUUAAUCGGAAUUACUGGGCGUAAAGCGUGCGCAGGCGGUUUUGUAAGACAGGCGUGAAAUCCCCGGGCUCAACCUGGGAAUUGCGCUUGUGACUGCAAGGCUAGAGUACGUCAGAGGGGGGUAGAAUUCCACGUGUAGCAGUGAAAUGCGUAGAGAUGUGGAGGAAUACCGAUGGCGAAGGCAGCCCCCUGGGACGUGACUGACGCUCAUGCACGAAAGCGUGGGGAGCAAACAGG